rnacentral:misc_RNA from 1 species
GGUUGUGGAAGAGAGGCUGCUGCUAUCCUGUUCUGGGUUCACAUUUUUGCCGUUUUCUCAAUGGCUGGAUGGAUAGUUCUUUAUAUUAACAUUCUCUUCUGAGUUGCAGAACUGCAGCAAGCUGUUACUGAAAUGUACCUACCCUCUUUGUUGCGAUUUAUUUCAUUGUUAGUGUUAAUAGCUAAGUGGGGUGGCCAAAAAAAUUCAAAAAUCUCGUGGGAAUGAGAGGUUGUCAAUAGCAGUUUUUUUCAGACAAAAUCUUUAUCAACUUCGAUUGUCAUUCUCAUACGUAAGAUAAGCGAAUCAUUUUUGUUGUUUUCCAUUCCUCUGAUGGUGGGAAGAUUUUGGAUUGGCGAAUUCACUACUAAGUCUUCAACAGUAAGAGUCGUGGAAAUGUUGGUAAUUAAUGUAUAAAAGUGAGAAUCCGCCGAGUACCGAGAUGUUGUAUGGGUGCACAUAGCAUCCAAUAUCCACCAUGAGUUGAAGCUUAAUAAAAGCAAAUAACAAAGGUGGAAACAAUCCAAAGAACAAGGAAUGGCUUUGUAAGAAUAUAGACAAACCAUGAAGAGAUAAUGAGAAAUAGAAGGCAG